UCAGGUUUGGACGCAGCUUCUAAAGUUCCACAUCAAGCUGUGGAGGCCCCCAGGUACCUCCAGGUGGCUGCUUCAGAGUCUCCUCGCCGUCGACUUUGGAGGUGCUGGCGAGCAAACAGCGGACAUCAGCCUCGUCAUUGAAGAGGUCGUCCGUGUGCUUCU